CCUACGGGUGGCAGCAGUAGGGAAUAUUGCUCAAUGGGGGAAACCCUGAUGCAGCAACGCCGCGUGGGUGAAGAAGGUUUUCGGAUUGUAAAGCCCUUUUGUGAGAGAAGAAAAUGACGGUACCUGAGUAAUAAGCACCGGCUAACUCCGUGCCAGCAGCCGCGGUAAUACGUAGGGUGCAAGCGUUAUCCGGAUUUACUGGGGGUAAAGUGAGCGGAGGCGGGCUUUCAAGUCUGAUGUGAAAGGCUGUGGCUUAACCGCAGAACUGCACUGGAAACUGUGAGUCGAGAGUGCAGGAGAGGUAAGUGGAAUUCCUGGUGUAGGGGUGAAAUGCGUAGAUAUUAGGAGGAACACUAGUGGCGAAGGCGGCUUACUGGAACGUAACUGACGCUGAUGCUCGAAAGCGUGGGGAGCAAACAGGAUUAGAUACCCGAGUAGUC
rnacentral:rRNA from 1 species